rnacentral:rRNA from 1 species
UACGGGGGGGGGCAAGCGUUGUUCGGAAUUACUGGGCGUAAAGGGUUUGUAGGUGGCUUGUUAAGUCAGACGUGAAAUCCCUCAGCUUAACUGGGGAACUGCGUCUGAGACUGGUGAGCUUGAGUGCAGGAGAGGAACGCGGAAUUCCAGGUGUAGCGGUGAAAUGCGUAGAUAUCUGGAGGAACACCGGUGGCGAAGGCGGCGUUCUGGACUGCAACUGACACUGAUGAACGAAAGCCAGGGGAGCAAACGGG